rnacentral:rRNA from 1 species
GGCGGCGUGCCUAAUACAUGCAAGUCGAACGGUCUUUCUAUGGAAGCUUGCUUCCACUGAGAAGAUAGUGGCGAACGGGUGAGUAACGACGUGGGUAACCUGCCCAUAAGAGGGGGAUAACAUCCGGAAACGGGUGCUAAUACCGCAUAGUUUUCUUGAUCGCAUGAUUGAGAAAGGAAAGACGGCCUUUGUGCUGUCGCUUAUGGAUGGACCCGCGGCGUAUUAGUUAGUUGGUGAGGUAACGGCUCACCAAGACGAUGAUACGUAGCCGACCUGAGAGGGUGAUCGGCCACAUUGGGACUGAGACACGGCCCAAACUCCUACGGGAGGCAGCAGUAGGGAAUCUUCCGCAAUGGACGAAAGUCUGACGGAGCAACGCCGCGUGAGUGAAGAAAAGGUUUUCGGAUCGUAAAACUCUGUUGUCAGAGAAGAACAAGUUGGAGAGUAACUGCUCCAGCCUUGACGGUAUCUGACCAGAAAGCCACGGCUAACUACGUGCCAGCAGCCGC